rnacentral:siRNA from 1 species
UUAAAGGUGUACGAUCAUGUA